rnacentral:rRNA from 1 species
AUGCGCCCCGUCGCAAUGCCGCCGCUCUGCCUUCACAUUCCACACUCAAACCCCUACUUAACCAACCUUCGUCUACCCACGCUCAGAAUUCCUACCCACAGCAGCCAGAAACCUCUCAUCCAUCCAGCCAUGGCGGACUGGUCCUCGCUCCCGCCCGAGCUCGUCCGGCGCAUCGCCGACCGCCUCCUGGACACCAACGACCUCGACCUCUACAUGGGCCUCCGCGCCGUCUGCCCGAGCUGGCGCUCCGCCACCGACGACCCCAAGGACUCCUCCGAGCCCCGCUUCCGGCCGUGCCGGUGGAUCGUCGUCGACGAGCACUUCCACAUGGGUAGCGACUCACGCCUCCUGGUGAACACCGUCAGCGGCCGUGUCGUCCGCCUGGACCUGCCUCUGCUCCGCCGGUACUGCCUCGUCGCCACCACCCACGGCGGCUUCUUCGUCCUCGCCGACAAGAAGCCCCCUCACCGUGCGGUCGUCCUCAACCCCUUCACCGGCCACAUGAUCCGCUUCAAGGCGCCCGUGCCCUCCCGCAGGGAUCCUGCUGCCGCUGCUCUCACCGGCAUUUUCGGGCCGUCGCUCUCUUCUGCGGACCUCGGUUCUCCACCCACCCUCAUCUUGGUCUGUGAUGGUGGUACUUGCGAACGAUACAUGGCUGUUCCUGACAGCGACGAUUUCAGCCCAGAUUUGGAUGAAGAAGUUGCGAGCUCAUGCCAGAUUGUGAUGCCGCUGGCCAUCGCCGGCGGUAUCUAUGCCGCAGACGGUUGGCAUAGAAGGGCGGCACCGCUUCCGGUUGCUUUGGCUGAUAAGAUGUUCCGUUUGAUGAAGCUGUUCGACGUUGAUACUUACAAGAUGUACGAAGAAAAACCUUCGAUGGGUAUGGGGUUUGCCGAUCUUUCCUGGACAAGUAAUGCCAACCGCAUUUUCCUGGUCGAAUCUGCCGGAGAGAUUCUGGCGAUUGUCAACGUGCAGCCACACCUGAAAGUUUUCACGCUGGACACCGACAGCGAUGAGCUUGAGCCGGUGGAGGGCAUCGGUGGCCGUGCCAUCUUCAUCGGUUACCGCAGGAGCCUGUCUGUCAGUGCGGACAAGUUCCCCUCUGUCAUCGCCAACUGCAUCUACUACGUCAAGCCUACAGAUUCGUCACAUGACAUUUACCAGUAUGACCUGAAGAGAGAGAGAGAGAAGAGUGCGUCUGUGAAGCCAUAG